rnacentral:rRNA from 1 species
GGUCAAGUCAUCAUGGCCCUUACGGGGUGGGCUACAAACGUGCUACAAUGGCGCGCACAAAGGGCUGCAAACCCGCGAGGGGGAGCGAAUCCCAAAAAACGCGUCGUAGUCCGGAUCGGAGUCUGCAACUCGACUCCGUGAAGUCGGAAUCGCUAGUAAUCGUGAAUCAGAAUGUCACGGUGAAUACGUUCCCGGGCCUU